CAAAUAAGUCAGCCUAAUCUAGCUUGUCGCCCAAGCUGGAGCGGAGGAACCCAUCAAGGGGCUAAUCAAGAUCCGCAACCUCGACAUUCCAGAAAUUAUCGAGGUUCUUCUUGAAGGACAUCUCUCAGUCCUCGCCCGUCAGCUAACUUCGUAGGCUUUGAGAGGAGACUGG
rnacentral:sRNA from 2 species